rnacentral:rRNA from 1 species
AUUGAACGCUGGCGGCAGGCCUAACACAUGCAAGUCGAGCGGAUGAAGGGAGCUUGCUCCUGGAUUCAGCGGCGGACGGGUGAGUAAUGCCUAGGAAUCUGCCUGGUAGUGGGGGAUAACGUCCGGAAACGGGCGCUAAUCCAGCAUCGGCCCUGAGGGUGAAAGGGGGGGUUCUUCGGACCUAACCCUUCUUGAUGACCCUAGGUCGGAUUAGCUAGUUGGUGGGGUAAAGGCCUACCAAGGCGACGAUCCGUAACUGGUCUGAGAGGAUGAUCAGUCACACUGGAACUGAGACACGGUCCAGACUCCUACGGGAGGCAGCAGUGGGGAAUAUUGGACAAUGGGCGAAAGCCUGAUCCAGCCAUGCCGCGUGUGUGAAGAAGGUCUUCGGAUUGUAAAGCACUUUAAGUUGGGAGGAAGGGCAGUAAGUUAAUACCUUGCUGUUUUGACGUUACCAACAGAAUAAGCACCGGCUAACUUCGUG